AAAAUGCACCGCCCCGAGUGUCUUAUUGCUGUGAUGAAAUGGAAAUUUAAAUAAAAGGUCGAACACGUGCGUUCACUGGGAAGUAUUGACAGGGGUGUUACAUCACCACCAGCCAAUCAGAUAACUCCAGUCGUGUUUAUACUUCUACAACCACCUUGCACUUUGCAAAUAAAUGCAUUAUUUACUGUAUUUUAACCACCGGUGCCUCUCCCAUAGAAAGAAAGAAUCACUGAAGUUAAUAGCUUAUUUAGGAUUAAAAUCAUGCUAAGUAAAAAGCAUGAUUUUUAAAGGCAUUGAAAUAAUGUUUCCGUUGAAUUUACGUUCAAAACAAUGAUCAUAGAUAUAUACAGUGGAAUAUUAUUCUGUCCUAAAAAAGAGGGAAAUCUUGUCAUUUGCAACAACAUGAAUGAAACUGGAGGACAUUAAGGAGUGGGCCAGACAGUGUGGGUGGAGAAGGAAAAACAGAAGCACCUUUGGAGAAACUGCUCAAAGUAGUCGCACUACUUACAGUGGCUCAGCAGAGUCUUCUGUAUGAACAAAGACAGUCAGCAGGAGUGAGGCAUUCAUCAGAACAAGAUGGGCAUAGUCUCUGUGGUCCUGGAUCUAGAGGGAAAAGACAAAAACACAAAAUCUCAGGUGUACAUCAGCUAUAAGCAACAUGACCAUUUUUUACAAGAAGAAGCACAUCUACAUUCUGACAAAAAAUGGUUUUAUAGCAAUGACAGCCCUACACUAAAUCCCUGACUUUCUAAGUAGAGCUAGAACUUUCAUUGUCAGCAUGGAGAUAUUGGGAACUUUGGAAACUGGAGAGGCAUUUGAAUGCAGAAGAACCGGCUCAGAAGGAGAGUCUCCAGUUUCCAGUCUGAGCUGGAGAUUCUAAGCAAGACACUUAGCUUCUCUGAG